rnacentral:rRNA from 1 species
GUGGGGAAUUUUGGACAAUGGGCGCAAGCCUGAUCCAGCAAUGGCGCGUGCAGGAAGAAGGCCUUCGGGUUGUAAACUGCUUUUGUACGGAACGAAACGGUCCGGGUUAAUACCCUGGGCUAAUGACGGUACCGUAAGAAUAAGCACCGGCUAACUACGUGCCAGCAGCCGCGGUAAUACGGAGGGUGCAAGCGUUAAUCGGAAUUACUGGGCGUAAAGCGUGCGCAGGCGGUUUUGUAAGACAGGCGUGAAAUCCCCGGGCUCAACGUGGGAAUUGCGCUUGUGACUGCAAGGCUGGAGUGCGGCAGAGGGGGAUGGAAUUCCGCGUGUAGCAGUGAAAUGCGUAGAUAUGCGGAGGAACACCGAUGGCGAAGGCAAUCCCCUGGGCCUGCACUGACGCUCAUGCACGAAAGCGUGGGGAGCAAACAGGAUUAGAAACCCGAGUAGUCC